rnacentral:lncRNA from 1 species
UCCCCCUACUCAACACUGAUUAGGCCUCAUCUUGAGUACUGUGUCCAUUCCUGGUCACCACAGUUUAAGAAAGAUGCAAACAAGCUAGAAAGGAUUCAGAGGAGGGCAACAAGGAUGAUCCAGGGUCUGGAAACAAAGCCCGGUGAGGAGAGAUUGAAAGAACUGGACAUGUGCAGCCCCCAGAAGAAAAGACUGAGGGAAGAUAUGAUAGCACUGUAAAAGUACUUGAAAGGCUGCCACAAAGAGGAAGACAGGAUCUCAUAUCAUCCCAGAGUGCAGGACACAGAAUAACAGGUUCAAGUUACAGGAAGCCAGGAAGCCAAUAUCUGAAAAUGGCAAAAUGAAUUGGAAUGAAAAGUGGGGGUUUUGUCCUAGUUUCAAUAUGCCUCAGUGCCACCUUGUGGCAGUGUAAUGGAACAUAGAAAGACAGAACAAGAGAAAAAUACAUGUGAAGAGGCUGAUUUAAAUCUGCAGAAAAUCCAGAAGCAGGUUCCUCAGCAAAGUGACCGGUUAAAAGACUCAUGUAUUCCAAGAAUCCUGCCUAAUCCUGGAGAACUGCUGCCAGUCAGUUAGGCUAGAUGGAUGGCUUCCUGUGCUCCCCAGAGAUCCGUGUUUGACGGUAUCCUGUGGUUUUUCCUUUCUUUCAGGCGCAGCAACAGCUCCAGACACUGGUCAACAAGGAGUCCAGUCUGGAAAGCCGUCUUGAGAAGCUGGCACGAGAUGUGACUACCUUACAGAAGAAGUCCCAGGCCAAUCAGCUGCAGGCCCAAGAGGCCAAGGCAAAAGCGGAGCGUGCUACAACUGCUGCAGGCCAGCUAGAAAAUGAGGUGGAGAAAGUAAUGCAGAGAUACCAGAAGCUGCAGGAUGAAUUGGGGAACCAGCCACAGGAUGCACUGCUCAAGCUGAAAAAGUUGAGGGAUGAAGCCCAGAUUCUCUUAGACAAAGCCAACGGCAGCAAGAGAAAGCUGGAAGAGCUGGAGGAGCGCUUUGAGUCCAAUGAGAAAGAAAUGAAAGAAAAAGCAACCCUUCUGCAAGAACUGGAGAGAAAUGUGACAAGCCUUCUGCAGUAUAUCCAGGAAAGAGCCACUGCCUACGCUACCUGCUAG